rnacentral:rRNA from 1 species
GGGGUAACGGCCUACCAAGGCCACGACGGGUAGCCGGCCUGAGAGGGCGACCGGCCACACUGGGACUGAGACACGGCCCAGACUCCUACGGGAGGCAGCAGUGGGGAAUAUUGCGCAAUGGGCGAAAGCCUGACGCAGCGACGCCGCGUGGGGGAUGAAGGCCUUCGGGUUGUAAACCCCUUUCAGCAGGGACGAAGCGAAAGUGACGGUACCUGCAGAAGAAGCGCCGGCUAACUACGUGCCAGCAGCCGCGGUAACACGUAGGGCGCAAGCGUUGUCCGGAAUUAUUGGGCGUAAAGAGUUCGUAGGUGGUUUGCUACGUCCGCUGUGAAAACCCAAGGCUUAACCUUGGGCUUGCAGUGGAUACGGGCAGACUAGAGGUAGGUAGGGGAGAAUGGAAUUCCCGGUGUAGCGGUGAAAUGCGCAGAUAUCGGGAGGAACACCGGUGGCGAAGGCGGUUCUCUGGG